GUCAGCUCGUGUCGUGAGAUGUUGGGUUAAGUCCCGCAACGAGCGCAACCCUUAUAUUUAGUUGCCAGCACUUCGGGUGGGCACUCUAGAUAGACUGCCGGUGACAAACCGGAGGAAGGUGGGGAUGACGUCAAAUCAUCAUGCCCCUUAUGACCUGGGCUACACACGUACUACAAUGGCCGGUACAACGGGCUGCGAAAUCGCGAGAUGGAGCCAAUCCCAACAAAGCCGGUCUCAGUUCGGAUUGCAGGCUGCAACUCGCCUGCAUGAAGUCGGAAUUGCUAGUAAUCGCGGAUCAGCAUGCCGCGGU
rnacentral:rRNA from 2 species